AUUGAACGCUGGCGGCAGGCCUAACACAUGCAAGUCGAGCGAGCGGAGGACGGGUGAGUAAUGUAUGGGGACUGCCCGAUCGAGGGGGAUAACUACUGGAAACGGUGGCUAAUACCGCAUAAUAUCGGAUAACCCAGAUGGGAUUAGCUAGUAGGUGGGGUAAAGGCUCACCUCGGCGACGAUCUCUAGCUGGUCUAAUAGGAUGAUCAGCACCACUGGUACUGAGCCACGGCCCAGACGCCGACGGAGGCAGCAGUGGGGAAUAUUGCACAAUGGGCGCAAGCCUGAUGCAGCCAUGCCGCGUGUAUGAAGAAGGCCUUAGGGUUGUAAAGUACUUUCAGCGGGGAGGCGUUACCCGCAGAAGAAGCACCGGCUAACUCCGUGCCAGCCGCCGCGGUAAUAC
rnacentral:rRNA from 1 species